rnacentral:rRNA from 1 species
CAGUAGCCACGGGAAUACGUAGGUGGCGAGCGUUGUCUGGAAUCAUUGGGCGUAAAGGGUGCGUAGGCGGUUUGGCAAGUCUUGUGUGAAAUCUUCGGGCUCAACCCGAAGCCUGCACGAGAAACUACCGGGCUUGAGUAUUGGAGAGGUGAGUGGAAUUUCCGGUGUAGCGGUGAAAUGCGUAGAUAUCGGAAGGAACACCUGUGGCGAAAGCGGCUCACUGGACCAUUUCUGACGCUGAUGCACGAAAGCUAGGGGAGCAAACAGGAUUAGAUACCCGGGUAGUCCCUGUCUCUUAUAC